AACGAACGCUGGCGGCAUGCCUAACACAUGCAAGUCGAACGAGACCUUCGGGUCUAGUUGCGCACGGGUGCGUAACGCGUGGGAACCUGCCCUUAGGUUCGGAAUAACUCCCCGAAAGGGGUGCUAAUACCGGAUAAUGUCUUCGGACCAAAGAUUUAUCGCCUUUGGAUGGGCCCGCGUUGUAUUAGCUAUUUGGUAGGGUAAAAGCCUACCACGGCGUCGAUCCAUAGCUGGUCUGAGAGGAUGAUCAGCCACACUGCGACUGAGACACGGGCCAGACUCCUAGGGGAGGCAGCAGUGGGGAAUAUGGGGCAAUGGGCGCAAGCCUGAUCCAGCCAAAGCGCGUGGGUGAAGAAGGCCUUCGGGUUGUAAAGCCCUUUUGGUGGGAAAGAAAAGCAGCAGGUUAAUACCCCGCUGUUCUGACGGUACCCAAAGAAUAAGCACGGGCUAACUUCGUG
rnacentral:rRNA from 1 species